ensembl:snoRNA U3 Small nucleolar RNA U3
AAGUUUGAUUUGAAAGUGUAACGUCUCUCUAACCACGAUGACGAGUUAAGAUGCUUUCUUCUGAGCGUGAAUCGGGUGGUGAGCGACGAGCAAGAUUGUCUGCUCUCUGUCGUUGAUGAACGUUCCUGCUGUGCUUUGCAGUCUGGAAGAAGAAAGCAUGUUCAGAGUGGU